AUACGGAGGGGGCUAGCGUUGUUCGGAAUUACUGGGCGUAAAGCGCGCGUAGGCGGGUUGGCAAGUUGAAGGAGAAAUCCCAGGGCUCAACCCUGGAACUGCCUCCAAAACUGCCAGUCUUGAGUUCGGAAGAGGUGAGUGGAAUUCCUAGUGUAGAGGUGAAAUUCGUAGAUAUUAGGAAGAACACCAGUGGCGAAGGCGACUCACUGGUCCGAUACUGACGCUGAGGUGCGAAAGCGUGGGGAGCAAACAGGAUUAGAUACCCCAGUAGUCC
rnacentral:rRNA from 1 species